AUGGGACGGCCCGCUGGGCUGUUCCCGCCCCUAUGCCCUUUUUUGGGUUUCCGGCCAGAGGCAUGCUGGGAGCGUCACAUGCAAAUUGAGCGUGCACCCAGCGUUCCGCCCUUUCUACGCUGGGCCGGUUAUCGACCCGGCCCAGUGCGCAGGCGCGGGAAAGUUGAACUAAUAAAGUUUGUACGAGUUCAGUGGAGGAGACCGCAAGUUGAGUGGAGGAGGCGGCGGUGGGGCCCCGGACCAGGUCAGCGGGGUGUUGACGAGGGGUGGGGUGAGGAGGGAAGAGGAGGGGGCCGGGAUCCAGUGGUGGGCACCCCAGUCCCGCUUCUCUGAUAUCCAAGGGUCCAGGGUCCUCUAGAUUCCAGCAGGGGUCGGAGAUUUGGAACUACACCUCACAGCAGGCUGCGCGGCGAAGAAGCGCGGACCUAGGGGAAGAUUUGCCCUGAAACCUCUUGGGAUUGGUAGUUCCCGAUGCUUUAAGGGUUUCAGGAGUUUGGCAUAUGCCUCUUAUAGAAUCCAGGAGUUGGGGCGCUAAGCCUCUUCUUCCUGGGAGACCUAAGGGUCUGGGGCUCCAGUUCCUUUUUCUCUAAGACUCAGAAGUCCAGGACCCCAGCUCCCUCCUCCUUUAGACCCACGAAUCUGGGCACCCAGCCCCACCACCUUUCCUUGGAUCGAAGAGUCUUUUUCCUGAUCGCUUUUUCGUCUGAGGACUCAAGAGUCUAGGCCCCCAGACCCACACUCUCCAAAGGACCCAGGAGUCCAGGCCCUCAGCACCUUCCUUGGGACUCACAAGUCCUGGUCCCCAAGCCUCCACUUCUUGCUAAACCCUUGGAGUCCAGUCCCUAACCCUCUCUCUCACAGGUGCCUCCAUGGCAGGCUCUGAAGAGCUGGGGCUCCGGGAAGACACGCUGAGGGUCCUAGCUGCCUUCCUUAGGCGUGGUGAGGCUGCCGGGUCUCCUGUUCCAACUCCACCUAGGUAAGAGGAGUGGCCCUUCUCCCCCAGGGGCCAGCAUUUGAGGCUCCCUCCUAACUCUUGCUCCUGGUCUCAGUCUGUCUCCUCUCUUUAUAUCUGGCUCUAUUCUCUGUCUUUGGGGUUUUGGAGAGAGGUCCUCAGCGGGGGAGGGAGGGAGUUGGGGAAAGAGACUGCUUGCAGGGGAUCUCUGGUGGGGUCAGUCUCUGAAGUCCUCCUCUCCAGAAGCCCUGCCCAAGAAGAGCCAACAGACUUCCUGAGCCGCCUUCGAAGAUGUCUUCCCUGCUCCCUGGGGCGAGGAGCAGCCCCCUCUGAGUCCCCUCGGCCUUGCUCUCUGCCCAUCCGCCCCUGCUAUGGUUUAGAGCCUGGCCCAGCUACUCCAGACUUCUAUGCUUUGGUGGCCCAGCGGCUGGAACAGCUGGUCCAAGAGCAGCUGAAAUCUCCGCCCAGCCCAGAAUUACAGGGUCCCCCAUCGACAGAGAAGGAAGCCAUACUGCGGAGGCUGGUGGCCCUGCUGGAGGAGGAGGCAGAAGUCAUUAACCAGAAGGUGAUGGGCAUCUGUCCCACUCCUUGGCAAGGACAGGAGUUGCGGAAUGGAGGGCAUCCUGGCUGUUUCACCCGUGGACUUGAACUUGCCAUUGGACUGAGCUCUUUCUCAGAAGCUGCUACAAGAUGACACCUCAUGUCCCUGCCCUCUUCGUGUGCUUUUCCAAGUCUUCCUAUUCCACUCAGGGCUGUGGGGUGGUGGUUGCCCUACCUGUUUUUGCCAAAAAUAAAUUGUUUAAAACUUUUCUUAUUAAAAACGUUACAAAGUA
rnacentral:misc_RNA from 1 species